rnacentral:tRNA from 1 species
UCUCCGCUGGUGUAAUGGUAGCACACGGGCUUUUGGUGCCCAUAGUCCGGGUUCGAAUCCUGGGUGGAGAACGA